GAUGAACGCUAGCGGCAGGCCUAACACAUGCAAGUCGAGGGGUAGAGUUCUUCGGGACUUGAGACCGGCGCACGGGUGCGUAACGCGUAUGCAAUCUACCUUUUGCAGAGGGAUAGCCCCAGAGAAAUUUGGAUUAAUACCUCAUAGUAUAGUACUUUGGCAUCAAGGAACUAUUAAAGUCACAACGGCAAAAGAUGAGCAUGCGUCCAUUAGCUAGUUGGUAAGGUAACGGCUUACCAAGGCUACGAUGGGUAGGGGUCCUGAGAGGGAGAUCCCCCACACUGGUACUGAGACACGGACCAGACUCCUACGGGAGGCAGCAGUGAGGAAUAUUGGACAAUGGGCGCAAGCCUGAUCCAGCCAUGCCGCGUGCAGGAUGACGGUCCUUAUGGAUUGUAAACUGCUUUUAUACAGGAAGAAACACUCCGACGUGU
rnacentral:rRNA from 1 species